rnacentral:tRNA from 1 species
CUGGGGUUCUGGCUCAGUGGUAGAGUACUUGCCUAGCAUGUGUGGGAUACUGGGUUUGAUCCUCAGCACCACAGA